CUAACAUUUGGAUCAGAGAUCCCCUCACUAAAACAGCCUGAGAGCCUGACUCCUUCCAGGACGAGUGCCCCAACCUGUUCUCUAGCUGGUGGGAAAGACCCCUCUGUUUCUUAAAAGCCUGUUAAGUUCCUUCAGGCUAGUAGCUACAUCUUGCUGCAUACUUCCUUGGAAAUAGAGAGUGCUUUCAAAUUAAUUUCUCACUUAUUGCUAUUAGUGGUCCCAAGAAAAAGAGAUGAAAUUGCAGCAUCUUGUAAUGGUGAGUUUUUUAGGUCUAGGAGAGGUACUGUCAUCUUUGUUUACUUUCUGAGAGACGACAGAAAUGUGUAGUUGUGGGGUAUGAAGGUAAAGUCAGUGAUUAUAGCUAAAAAGCAAAUGUCAUUUAAGGUCACUGGUAUUUUUGGAAGUUGGAAUGCUGGUUUUGUUUUACAUAGAAAUUUUCCCUCUAAUUAUUUUACUCAUGUUCUGGAAAAUGAUUCCAUGUUGCUUUAAAGUCAUCGUUCAGUGAAGUUCUUAUGUCUUACCAAAAAAAUGACGGCUUUGUCAUUUCUUACAUCAUUUUUUCCUUUCUGUUGCCAAAUGCCCUCCAGACUUUCCAUGUUGGUGCGGUAAGCUAGACAUUUUUUAGUUUGUAGUGAUGGUUUUCAUUUGUGUUUGUAUGUUUUUGUGCCCAUAGUCACUUCUGUAAUGUUCGUUUCUGAGUUUCCUUUGGGGGGAUUGACCUGCCACUGAAGCGUCAGCUUCCCUGUCAUGGGACUCUCCUUGGAAUGACGGGUUUUCCUUCCACCAUAGGAUCUGCCACUGUGAAGGAGAUGAUGAGAGCCCCCUGAUCACCCCCUGCCACUGCACAGGAAGCCUCCACUUCGUGCACCAGGCCUGCCUGCAGCAGUGGAUCAAGAGCUCUGACACGCGCUGCUGCGAGCUCUGCAAGUAUGAGUUCAUCAUGGAGACCAAGCUGAAGCCGCUGAGAAAAUGGGAGAAGUUGCAGAUGACGUCCAGCGAGCGCAGGAAGAUCAUGUGCUCAGUGACAUUCCACGUCAUUGCCAUCACAUGUGUGGUCUGGUCCUUGUAUGUGCUCAUUGACCGUACUGCCGAGGAGAUCAAGCAGGGGCAGGCAACAGGAAUCCUAGAAUGGCCCUUUUGGACUAAAUUGGUGGUUGUGGCCAUCGGCUUCACCGGAGGACUUCUUUUUAUGUAUGUUCAGUGUAAAGCGUAUGUGCAAUUGUGGAAGAGACUCAAGGCCUAUAAUAGAGUGAUCUAUGUUCAAAACUGUCCAGAAACAAGCAAAAAGAAUAUUUUUGAAAAAUCUCCGCUAACAGAGCCCAACUUUGAAAAUAAACAUGGACGUGGAAUCUGUCAUUCCGAUACAAACUCUUCUUGUUGCACAGAGCCUGAAGACACUGGAGCAGAAAUCAUUCACGUCUGAUUGUGUGCGGGUUGUCAUUUUCCUGGACAUCUAUGAAGAGCCGAAGGAAAUUGUUUACUGCCAAUUGUAUACCUUUCUUAUGUCCUUUAAUAGCAUAGACUGGACAGGUGACUAUUUAUAGUGGUUUCUCUUUUUCUAAACUCUCCUUAGUCUCCUAGAAAACCUUCCUGUGGGCCGGGCAUGCCUGGGUCUUGCCUCUGCCUGGCAGCUCUGUGGGAAAGUGGAAGACCCCAUGAUGACAUCAUGGGGAGCCAGCAGAGUUCCUGCCCAUGGUCUUGAGCUGAAUGAGAGAAUAAAAUGCCAAUCCCAAGGGAAGAGGAGGAGCAGGGGUGCCCAGGCCCUGAUACCCAGCCACCUCCAGCUUGCAGCAGUCCCCAGCCUGGAGCAGAGCAUUGGGGAAUGUCUAGCCAUGAUGAGAGGAUUCUCUCUGCACCACGGCGAACCCCAGGAGAUGGUAUUGAAACAGACCCUCAAACACAGACUCCUGCCUGCCCUCUGCCGAUGCUGCCUCCUCCAUGCUCUUGAGCAGGUGGGGCCGUGGUGCUCUGUGGUGGCGCAUGAUUCACUGGGCAAACAGCACUUUACAGAAGAAAAUCUUUAUUUUGUAAUAUAUGUGUCCAGUGGGAUUGACACUCAAAAAAAGUCUCACUUAGAAAUCUUCCCUUCCUUACCUUUGUAUCUCCUUUACAUCAUGAGAGAUCAAAAACCCAUUUUGCCUUAUAUAUGCU
rnacentral:sRNA from 1 species